UUGAACAUCUAUAAUGUCUAUAAUCAAUAUUUAUUUGAGAAUUGUCCAGUCCUAAUGUGAUCAUUGUCCAGUCAAUGUGAUCCGUGUGCAGUCAAUUUAAUCCUUGUCCAGUUGAGUUGCUAUUAUAGCAUCUGUCAUCAGUAUUUAUUUGAUCCCUGUCCAGUCAAGUUGUUCCCUGUCCAGUCAAGGUGGUGUUAUAGGUAAAUGUCCAGUUCAUUUGAUCUCUGUCAAGUCAUGGCUGUUAUUAUAGAGAUGCUUUGGAUGAUGGCACUUUCUUACUGAUAAAUUUAGCUGACCUCAGUUUUCAUCAAAUUAGAAAUAUGGAAGAUUGGAAUGAGGUAAGAU